rnacentral:rRNA from 1 species
AGUGAACGCUGGCGGCGUGCUUAACACAUGCAAGUUGAGCGAACUUCUGCAGCGUAUCGCAGGAGUUAGCGGCAAACGGGUGAGUAACACGUAGGAGACUUCCCUUAAAGAGAGGAAUACCCCCGAGAAAUCGGGGCUAAUACCUCAUAAGACCACAGUCUGGCAUCAGGCAGGGGUCAAAGGCUCGCAAGAGCCGCUUUAGGAUGGUCCUGCGUCCUCUCAGCUAGUUGGUGAGGUAACGGCUCACCAAGGCUAUGACGGGUAGCCGGCCUGAAAGGGUGAUCGGCCACAUUGGGACUGAGACACGUGCCGGACUCCUACGGGAGGCAGCAGUGGGUAAUAUUGGACAAUGGUGGAAACCCUGAUGCAACAACGCCGCGUGAGUGAUGACGGCCUUCGGGUUGUAAAGCUCUGUCUUUGGGGACGAUAAUGGCGGUACCCAAGGAGGAAGUCACGGCCAACUACGUGCCAGCCGCCGCGGUAA